UUUCUGUAGUUGAAGGUUAUUACAACGACGACUUUUCGGGUCGUAGGUCUUGGAGAAGAGCCAAGUAGAAAU
rnacentral:tRNA from 1 species